ensembl:lncRNA
GUUUUGGGUGGUUUUGGUAGGGUCUGUCUUGGUUUUGAGUGGUUUCGAGUGUUCUUGAGUGGUUUUGAGUGGAUUUUGAGGGUUUCUGACUGUAGGUUAUAUAGAUAAAUGCGAAGAGUGCCUCCCCCCGAAGUGCCUCCCCCCCCUUAUCUCGGGUACCAUAAGUCCUAGAGUGCUGAAACUUGGUGGGUAUACUAAUUAGGGAGUGGGCUUUCGAAUGCACCCAGUGCCGUCUCUCUAGCGCCACCAGGCGCCGAGAUAUGGUACUGCUCCAUUACUUGAGUUUUGGUGUGCUAGGGCUAUGGUUGAGUUUCUUAGUUCCAGCCCUAGAGUCGAGUUUCUCUAUGUGGCUGGUUGUGACUUAGUCAAAUGGGUUGGACUUAGUGUUUUUUGAGUGGUUUGGUGUUGGUUUUUAGUGUUCUUGAGUGGUUUUGAGUGGUUUUUGAGUGUUUCUGAUGGUUUUGAGUGGGGUUAGGGUUAGGUUAUAUAGAUAAAUGCGAAGAGUGCCUCCCCCCGAAGUGCCUCCCCCCCCUUAUCUCGGGUACCAUAAGUCCUAGAGUGCUGAAACUUGGUGGGUAUACUAAUUAGGGAGUGGGCUUUCGAAUGCACCCAGUGCCGUCUCUCUAGCGCCACCAGGCGCCGAGAUAUGGUACUGCUCCAUUACUUGAGUUUUGGUGUGCUAGGGCUAUGGUUGAGUUUCUUAGUUCCAGCCCUAGAGUCGAGUUUCUCUAUGUGGCUGGUUGUGACUUAGUCAAAUGGCUGUCUUAGGGUUAGGAAUGAAUGAAAUCCAGAGGCUGAAACAUAGUUCAACCUCGGUAAAUGCACUGUCCUUCUUAUACUCCUGAUGGCCACCUGUUUACUGGACACCACUCUUCGACUUCCAGGGGCCCAA